AACGAACGCUGGCGGCAGGCUUAACACAUGCAAGUCGAGCGCCCCGCAAGGGGAGCGGCAGACGGGUGAGUAACGCGUGGGAAUCUACCGAGCCCUAAGGAAUAGCUCCGGGAAACUGGAAUUAAUACCUUAUACGCCCUUCGGGGGAAAGAUUUAUCGGGGUUUGAUGAGCCCGCGUUGGAUUAGCUAGUUGGUGGGGUAAAGGCCUACCAAGGCGACGAUCCAUAGCUGGUCUGAGAGGAUGAUCAGCCACAUUGGGACUGAGACACGGCCCAAACUCCUACGGGAGGCAGCAGUGGGGAAUAUUGGACAAUGGGCGCAAGCCUGAUCCAGCCAUGCCGGGUGAGUGAUGAAGGCCCUAGGGUUGUAAAGCUCUUUCACCGGUGAAGAUAAUGACGGUAACCGGAGAAGAAGCCCCGGCUAACUUCGUGCCAGCCGCCCGCCGUAA
rnacentral:rRNA from 1 species